rnacentral:rRNA from 1 species
AGAGUUUGAUCAUGGCUCAGGAUGAACGCUGGCGGUCUGCUUAACACAUGCAAGUCGAACGAGUCCUUUCGGGGAUUAGUGGCGGACGGGUGAGUAACGCGUGAGAAUCUGCCAAAAGGACUGGGACAACCACUGGAAACGGUGGCUAAUACCAGAUGUGCCGCAACGUAAAAGAGGAAACUCGCCUUUUGAGGAGCUCGCGUCUGAUUAGCUAGUUGGUGAGGUAAAAGCUCACCAAGGCAACGAUCAGUAGCUGGUCUGAGAGGAUGAUCAGCCACACUGGGACUGAGACACGGCCCAGACUCCUACGGGAGGCAGCAGUGGGGGAAUUUUCCGCAAUGGGCGAAAGCCUGACGGAGCAAGACCGCGUGAGGGAGGAAGGCUCUUGGGUUGUAAACCUCUUUUGUCAGGGAAGAACACAAUGACGGUACCUGAAGAAUCAGCAUCGGCUAACUCCGUGCCAGCAGCCGCGGUAAUACGGAGGAUGCAAGCGUUAUCCGGAAUUAUUGGGCGUAAAGCGUCCGCAGGUGGCACUUCAAGUCUGCUGUCAAAGACCGGGGCUUAACCCUGGAAAGGCAGUGGAAACUGAAGCGCUAGAGUGUGGCAGGGGUAGAGGGAAUUCCCGGUGUAGCGGUGAAAUGCGUAGAGAUCGGGAAGAACAUCGGUGGCGAAAGCGCUCUACUGGGCCACAACUGACACUCAGGGACGAAAGCUAGGGGAGCGAAUGGGAUUAGAUACCCCCGUAGUCC